GACGAACGCUGGCGGCGUGCUUAACACAUGCAAGUCGAACGGAAAGGCCCUGCUUUUGUGGGGUGCUCGAGUGGCGAACGGGUGAGUAACACGUGAGUAACCUGCCCUUGACUUUGGGAUAACUUCAGGAAACUGGGGCUAAUACCGGAUAGGAGCUCCUGCUGCAUGGUGGGGGUUGGAAAGUUUCGGCGGUUGGGGAUGGACUCGCGGCUUAUCAGCUUGUUGGUGGGGUAGUGGCUUACCAAGGCUUUGACGGGUAGCCGGCCUGAGCGGGUGGCCGGCCACAUUGGGACUGAGAGAGGGCCCAGACUCCUACGGGAGGCAGCAGUGGGAAAUAUUGCACAAUGGGGGGACGCCUGAUGCAGCAACGCCGCGUGCGGGAUGACGGCCUUCGGGUUGUAAACCGCUUUCGCCUGUGACGAAGCGUGAGUGACGGUAAUGGGUAAAGAAGCACCGGCUAACUACGUG
rnacentral:rRNA from 1 species